rnacentral:rRNA from 1 species
AAAAACCCAGGUGGUGUGAGAUGGAUCCGCGUCUGAUUAGCCAGUUGGCGGGGUAACGGCCCACCAAAGCGACGAUCAGUAGCCGACCUGAGAGGGUGACCGGCCACAUUGGGACUGAGACACGGCCCAAACUCCUACGGGAGGCAGCAGUGGGGAAUAUUGCACAAUGGGCGGAAGCCUGAUGCAGCGACGCCGCGUGAGUGAAGAAGUAUCUCGGUAUGUAAAGCUCUAUCAGCAGGGAAGAAAAUGACGGUACCUGACUAAGAAGCCCCGGCUAACUACGUGCCAGCAGCCGCGGUAAUACGUAGGGGGCAAGCGUUAUCCGGAUUUACUGGGUGUAAAGGGAGCGUAGACGGCGACGCAAGUCUGGAGUGAAAGCCCGGGGCCCAACCCCGGGACUGCUUUGGAAACUGUGCUGCUGGAGUGCAGGAGAGGUAAGUGGAAUUCCUAGUGUAGCGGUGAAAUGCGUAGAUAUUAGGAGGAACACCAGUGGCGAAGGCGGCUUACUGGACUGUAACUGACGUUGAGGCUCGAAAGCGUGGGGAGCAAACAGGAUUAGAUACCCUGGUAGUCCACGCCGUAA